rnacentral:rRNA from 1 species
AACGAACGCUGGCGGCAGGCUUAACACAUGCAAGUCGAACGAUGUAGCAAUACAUAGUGGCGCACGGGUGAGUAACGCGUGGGAAUAUACCUUAUAGUGGGGAAUAACUUUGGGAAACUAAAGCUAAUACCGCAUACGCCCGAGAGGGGAAAGAUUUAUCGCUAUAAGAUUAGCCCGCGUGAGAUUAGGUAGUUGGUGGGGUAAUGGCCUACCAAGCCUACGAUCUCUAGCUGGUCUGAGAGGAUGAUCAGCCACACUGGAACUGAGACACGGUCCAGACUCCUACGGGAGGCAGCAGUGGGGAAUAUUGGGCAAUGGACGAAAGUCUGACCCAGCCAUGCCGCGUGAAUGAU